CAUUAUUAUUUUUUAUUUAUUUUAAAAAAAAUCUAACAUACCAAAAGGCCCAAAAUUCUAACCCAAACUCCUCUUUCCUCUUAAGAUAGCCGUCAUACACUCAUUCCUUCAUAACUUCCCCUCUUCUUUUCCUCUUCUCUCACUUAUUUCCUCCUAUGAGACUCUAACUCCUUUCUCUUCUACCUUCAUCCCUUAAUGUUCUAAAAACUCCAAGCUAAAGCCCGAUUAAACUUCGAGCAUCGUCACUGAUGUUACAAAAUAUGCGGUGUGCAAAAGAUCAAUAUUCUCAAUGUUACAAAGUUGCGGUGUGCGGAAAUUCGUCGUCUUCUUCCUCUGUUUACAACUAGCGGCCUUACCCCAACUCUGAUACAAUUAAUGCGAAAGAUUAAGCCAUUGAAUAUCUGUUUUGCUCUAUAUAUGGUCAUAAGUUGUUGCGGGUUGAUUGGUGUUUAACAUUAUGGAGGCCCUGCGGUGGUUGAGCUUGGUGGAAGCGCUGCGGUGGUUCAGGUUGGUGUUGAAGUGUCGUUCAAGUUGGUGUUGAAGUGUUGCCGGUGGUUCAUGUUGGUGGAAGAGUGGAAGACUGGAAGUGCCGCUGCGGUUGAAUUAGAUUAUUAGGUGGUUUCGAAUUUCAGGGAAAAUCAAGUUAGGUGUUCUUCUGAAGUUGUAAACACAUUAAUAAUUAUUAAGUUAGGUUAGAGAAUUGUAUCAAAAUGUAAUUACAAUAAAGUUUUUUUUUAAUUAAUUUGGCAUCUGACUCA